UACGAAGGGUGCAAGCGUUACUCGGAAUUACUGGGCGUAAAGCGUGCGUAGGUGGUUCGUUAAGUCUGAUGUGAAAGCCCUGGGCUCAACCUGGGAAUGGCAUUGGAUACUGGCGGACUGGAGUGCGGUAGAGGAUGGCGGAAUUCCCGGUGUAGCAGUGAAAUGCGUAGAGAUCGGGAGGAACAUCUGUGGCGAAGGCGGCCAUCUGGACCAGCACUGACACUGAAAAGCGAAAGCCAGGGGAGCAAACGGG
rnacentral:rRNA from 1 species